rnacentral:rRNA from 1 species
GGGUUGUGAGGUUAAGCGACUAAGCGUACACGGUGGAUGCCCUGGCAGUCAGAGGCGAUGAAGGACGUGCUAAUCUGCGAUAAGCGUCGGUAAGGUGAUAUGAACCGUUAUAACCGGCGAUUUCCGAAUGGGGAAACCCAGUGUGAUUCGUCACACUAUCAUUACGUGAAUACAUAGCGUAAUGAAGCGAACCGGGGGAACUGAAACAUCUAAGUACCCCGAGGAAAAGAAAUCAACCGAGAUUCCCCCAGUAGCGGCGAGCGAACGGGGAGCAGCCCAGAGUCUGAAUCAGCUUGUGUGUUAGUGGAACGGUCUGGAAAGUCCGACGGUACAGGGUGAUAGUCCCGUACACCAAAAUGCACAGGUUGUGAACUCGAAGAGUAGGGCGGGACACGUGGUAUCCUGUCUGAAUAUGGGGGGACCAUCCUCCAAGGCUAAAUACUCCUGACUGACCGAUAGUGAACCAGUACCGUGAGGGAAAGGCGAAAAGAACCCCGGCGAGGGGAGUGAAAAAGAACCUGAAACCGUGUACGUACAAGCAGUGGGAGCAUCCUUUUGGGUGUGACUGCGUACCUUUUGUAUAAUGGGUCAGCGACUUAUAUUCUGUAGCAAGGUUAACCGUAUAGGGGAGCCGAAGGGAAACCGAGUCUUAACUGGGCGUUAAGUUGCAGGGUAUAGACCCGAAACCCGGUGAUCUAGCCAUGGGCAGGUUGAAGGUUGGGUAACACUAACUGGAGGACCGAACCGACUAAUGUUGAAAAAUUAGCGGAUGACUUGUGGCUGGGGGUGAAAGGCCAAUCAAACCGGGAGAUAGCUGGUUCUCCCCGAAAGCUAUUUAGGUAGCGCCUCGUGAAUUCAUCUUCGGGGGUAGAGCACUGUUUCGGCUAGGGGGUCAUCCCGACUUACCAACCCGAUGCAAACUGCGAAUACCGAAGAAUGUUAUCACGGGAGACACACGGCGGGUGCUAACGUCCGUCGUGAAGAGGGAAACAACCCAGACCGCCAGCUAAGGUCCCAAAGUCAUGGUUAAGUGGGAAACGAUGUGGGAAGGCACAGACAGCCAGGAUGUUGGCUUAGAAGCAGCCAUCAUUUAAAGAAAGCGUAAUAGCUCACUGGUCGAGUCGGCCUGCGCGGAAGAUGUAACGGGGCUAAACCAUGCACCGAAGCUGCGGCAGCGACACUAUGUGUUGUUGGGUAGGGGAGCGUUCUGUAAGCCGUUGAAGGUGUGCUGUGAGGCAUGCUGGAGGUAUCAGAAGUGCGAAUGCUGACAUAAGUAACGAUAAUGCGGGUGAAAAACCCGCACGCCGGAAGACCAAGGGUUCCUGUCCAACGUUAAUCGGGGCAGGGUGAGUCGACCCCUAAGGCGAGGCCGAAAGGCGUAGUCGAUGGGAAACAGGUUAAUAUUCCUGUACUUGGUGUUACUGCGAAGGGGGGACGGAGAAGGCUAUGUUAGCCGGGCGACGGUUGUCCCGGUUUAAGCAUGUAGGCGGAGGUUCCAGGUAAAUCCGGUACCUUUUUAACGCUGAGGUGUGAUGACGAGGCACUACGGUGCUGAAGUAACAAAUGCCCUGCUUCCAGGAAAAGCCUCUAAGCAUCAGGUAACACGAAAUCGUACCCCAAACCGACACAGGUGGUCAGGUAGAGAAUACCAAGGCGCUUGAGAGAACUCGGGUGAAGGAACUAGGCAAAAUGGUGCCGUAACUUCGGGAGAAGGCACGCUGAUAUGUAGGUGAAGUGAUUUACUCAUGGAGCUGAAAUCAGUCGAAGAUACCAGCUGGCUGCAACUGUUUAUUAAAAACACAGCACUGUGCAAACACGAAAGUGGACGUAUACGGUGUGACGCCUGCCCGGUGCCGGAAGGUUAAUUGAUGGGGUUAUCCGUAAGGAGAAGCUCUUGAUCGAAGCCCCGGUAAACGGCGGCCGUAACUAUAACGGUCCUAAGGUAGCGAAAUUCCUUGUCGGGUAAGUUCCGACCUGCACGAAUGGCGUAAUGAUGGCCAGGCUGUCUCCACCCGAGACUCAGUGAAAUUGAACUCGCUGUGAAGAUGCAGUGUACCCGCGGCAAGACGGAAAGACCCCGUGAACCUUUACUAUAGCUUGACACUGAACACUGGUCCUUGAUGUGUAGGAUAGGUGGGAGGCUUUGAAGUGUGGACGCCAGUCUGCAUGGAGCCAUCCUUGAAAUACCACCCUUUAAUGGCUGGUGUUCUAACGUGGACCCGUAAUCCGGGUUGCGGACAGUGUCUGGUGGGUAGUUUGACUGGGGCGGUCUCCUCCUAAAGAGUAACGGAGGAGCACGAAGGUUAGCUAAUCCUGGUCGGACAUCAGGAGGUUAGUGCAAAGGCAUAAGCUAGCUUGACUGCGAGAGUGACGGCUCGAGCAGGUGCGAAAGCAGGUCUUAGUGAUCCGGUGGUUCUGAAUGGAAGGGCCAUCGCUCAACGGAUAAAAGGUACUCCGGGGAUAACAGGCUGAUACCGCCCAAGAGUUCAUAUCGACGGCGGUGUUUGGCACCUCGAUGUCGGCUCAUCACAUCCUGGGGCUGAAGUAGGUCCCAAGGGUAUGGCUGUUCGCCAUUUAAAGUGGUACGCGAGCUGGGUUUAGAACGUCGUGAGACAGUUCGGUCCCUAUCUGCCGUGGGCGCUGGAGAAUUGAGGGGGGCUGCUCCUAGUACGAGAGGACCGGAGUGGACGCAUCACUGGUGUUCGGGUUGUCAUGCCAAUGGCAUUGCCCGGUAGCUAAAUGCGGAAGAGAUAAGUGCUGAAAGCAUCUAAGCACGAAACUUGCCCCGAGAUGAGUUCUCCCUGAGACUAUAAGUCUCCUGAAGGAACGUUAAAGACGAUGACGUUGAUAGGUCGGGUGUGUAAGUGUAGCGAUACAUUGAGCUAACCGAUACUAAUGAACCGUGAGGCUUAACCUUACAACGCCGAAG